UAGCGGCGGACGGGUGAGUAACACGUGGGUAACCUGCCUGUAAGACUGGGAUAACUCCGGGAAACCGGAGCUAAUACCGGAUAGUUCCUUGAACCGCAUGGUUCAAGGAUGAAAGACGGUUUCGGCUGUCACUUACAGAUGGACCCGCGGCGCAUUAGCUAGUUGGUGGGGUAAUGGCUCACCAAGGCGACGAUGCGUAGCCGACCUGAGAGGGUGAUCGGCCACACUGGGACUGAGACACGGCCCAGACUCCUACGGGAGGCAGCAGUAGGGAAUCUUCCGCAAUGGACGAAAGUCUGACGGAGCAACGCCGCGUGAGUGAUGAAGGUUUUCGGAUCGUAAAGCUCUGUUGUUAGGGAAGAACAAGUGCGAGAGUAACUGCUCGCACCUUGACGGUACCUAACCAGAAAGCCACGGCUAACUACGUGCCAGCAGCCGCGGUAAUACGUAGGUGGCAAGCGUUGUCCGGAAUUAUUGGGCGUAAAGGGCUCGCAGGCGGUUUCUUAAGUCUGAUGUGAAAGCCCCCGGCUCAACCGGGGAGGGUCAUUGGAAACUGGGAAACUUGAGUGCAGAAGAGGAGAGUGGAAUUCCACGUGUAGCGGUGAAAUGCGUAGAGAUGUGGAGGAACACCAGUGGCGAAGGCGACUCUCUGGUCUGUAACUGACGCUGAGGAGCGAAAGCGUGGGGAGCGAACAGGAUUAGAUACCCUGGUAGUCCACGCCGUAAACGAUGAGUGCUAAGUGUUAGGGGGUUUCCGCCCCUUAGUGCUGCAGCUAACGCAUUAAGCACUCCGCCUGGGGAGUACGGUCGCAAGACUGAAACUCAAAGGAUGCG
rnacentral:rRNA from 1 species